AACGCGAAGAACCUUACCUGGAUUUGACAUCCUCUGACAACCCUAGAGAUAGGGCUUUGGUAGCAAUAUCACAGAGAGACAGGUGCUGCAUGGCUGUCGUCAGCUCGUGUGGUGACAUGUUGGGUUAAGUCCCGCAACGAGCGCAACCCUUGUCUUUAGUUGCCAGCAUUUAGUUGGGCACUCUAAAGAGACUGCCGUGGUUAACACGGAGGAAGGUGGGGAUGACGUCAAGUCCUCAUGGCCUUUAUAUCCAGGGCGACACACGUGAUACAAUGGACGGUACAGAGGGACGCCAAGAGGCAACUCGGAGCUAAUCUCAAAAAGCCGUUCUCAGUUCGGAUUGGAGUCUGCAACUCGACUCCAUGAAGUUGGAAUCGCUAGUAAUCGCGGAUCAGCACGCCGCGGUGAAUACGUUCCCGGGCCUUGUACACACCGUAGUAC
rnacentral:rRNA from 1 species